rnacentral:rRNA from 1 species
AUUGAACGCUGGCGGCAGGCUUAACACAUGCAAGUCGAGCGAGCGGCGGACGGGUGAGUAAUGUCUGGGAAACUGCCUGAUGGAGGGGGAUAACUACUGGAAACGGUAGCUAAUACCGCCUACCAUCAGCUGUGCCCAGAUGGGAUUAGCUAGUUGGUGGGGUAAUGGCUCACAUAGGCGACGAUCCCUAGCUUGUCUGAGAGGAUGACCAGGCACACUGGAACUGAGACACGGUCCAGAGUCCUACGGGAGGCAGCAUGGGGGAAUAUGGCACAAGGGGCGAAAGCCUGAUGCAGCCAUGCCGCGUGUGUGAAGAAGGCCUUCGGGUUGUAAAGCACUUUCAGCGAGGAGGCGUUACUCGCAGAAGAAGCACCGGCUAACUCCGUGCCAGCAGCCGCGGUAAUAC